ensembl:lncRNA
UUUCAACAUCAACCACCACUGAAGAAACUACUACAACAGCCAUGAAAACCCGUGAGUAAUUGAGUUUGUAAAUCAGUUAUUCUUACUCCAUUCUGAAUGUCCUGAAAACGACAAUCAUUCUUUUAAGCUCAUGAGUAUUUGUCGAUCAUUUACUAUACAUACGGUACAUCACCACACAUUUCACAAUGUUUUUUCAUCAGCAUUAACUGUAAUGUCCACUUCUGAGACUACAAUAUACAGUAAAACUGAUACAUUGUUAAUAGUGCUGGUCUCCAUUGGUGUUGCUGGAAGUUUGUCUGGACUCAUGGGACUCAUCUGUCUGUGCCGGUUUGCAUGUAAAAAAAGAAGAAAACCCAUUAAAAUGAGAUCAAUAAAAACAGAUGUGCCCAUUCAAGAAACUGGUAUAAGUUGUUCUGGAUCUGCAGAGAUGUAUUCUCUGAUCACUUCUGUACCAGAAACAUCUCAGCCCAUAUCUGCAGGCCUCGAACGUCCAGAAUCACAUCUGGACAGCACAGCAGAUCCCACAAAACACAUUAUGUCUGUAAAUGUAAUUUACCAGCCCUCAGAUGUUUUGAUCAAUAAACAACAGAAACAGGGAAAUCCAGAAGAAAACGAGAAUGUUUAUAACAUGUACAGCACGAUCCCUGAAAACCAGUUCACUCAAAUGCAGGCGAUUAAUCCUACAGUUUGGUGA